GAUGAACGCUGGCGGCGUGCUUAACACAUGCAAGUCGAACGGAAAGGCCCAAGCUUGCUUGGGUACUCGAGUGGCGAAAGGGUGAGUAACACGUGGGUGAUCUGCCCUGCACUUCGGGAUAAGCCUGGGAAACUGGGUCUAAUACCGGAUAGGACGAUGGUUUGGAUGCCAUUGUGGAAAGUUUUUUCGGUGUGGGAUGAGCUCGCGGCCUAUCAGCUUGUUGGUGGGGUAAUGGCCUACCAAGGCGUCGACGGGUAGCCGGCCUGAGAGGGUGUACGGCCACAUUGGGACUGAGAUACGGCCCAGACUCCUACGGGAGGCAGCAGUGGGGAAUAUUGCACAAUGGGCGCAAGCCUGAUGCAGCGACGCCGCGUGGGGGAUGACGGCCUUCGGGUUGUAAACUCCUUUCGCUAGGGACGAAGCGUUUUGUGACGGUACCUGGAGAAGAAGCACCGGCUAACUACGUG
rnacentral:rRNA from 1 species